rnacentral:rRNA from 1 species
ACUCAAAGGAAUUGACGGGGACCCGCACAAGCAGUGGAGCAUGUGGUUUAAUUCGAUGCUACGCGAAAAACCUUACCACCCCUUGAAUCCCAUUGACCGCUACAGAAAUGUAGCUUUGGAGCAAUCUACAGUGGAGACAGGUGUUGCAUGGCUGUCGUCAGCUCGUGUCGUGAGAUGUUAGGUUAAGUCCUUCAACGAGCGCAACCCUCAUCCUUAUUUGCCAUCGGGUUAAGCCGGGAACUAUAAGGAAACUGCCAACGACAAGUUGGAGGAAGGUGGGGACGAUGUCAAGUCAUCAUGGCCCUUAUGGGGUGGGCUACACACAUGCUACAAUGGUGGUUACAGCAGGAAGCGAAAGAGCAAUCUGGAGCAAAUCCUUAAAAGCCAUCUCAGUUCAGAUUGAGGGCUGCAACUCGCCCUCAUGAAGUUGGAAUUGCUAGUAAUCGUAGAUCAGCACGCUACGGUGAAUACGUUCUCGGGUCUUGUACACACCGCCCGU